AUUGAACGCUGGCGGCAGGCUUAACACAUGCAAGUCGAGCGGAGCGAGGGUGCUUGCACCUUAGCUUAGCGGCGGACGGGUGAGUAAUGCUUAGGAAUCUGCCUAUUAGUGGGGGACAACAUUCCGAAAGGAAUGCUAAUACCGCAUACGCCCUACGGGGGAAAGCAGGGGAUCUUCGGACCUUGCGCUAAUAGAUGAGCCUAAGUCGGAUUAGCUAGUUGGGUGGGUAAAGGCCUACCAAGGCGACGAUCUGUAGCGGGUCUGAGAGGAGGAUCCGCCACACGGGGAGUGAGACACGGCCCAGACUCCUACGGGAGGCAGCAGUGGGGAAUAUUGGACAAUGGGCGGAAGCCUGAUCUAGCCAUGCCGCGUGUGUGAAGAAGGCCUUUUGGUUGUAAAGCACUUUAAGCGAGGAGGAGGCUACUUAGAUUAAUACUCUAGGAUAGUGGACGUUACUCGCAGAAUAAGCACCGGCUAACUCUGUGCCAGCCGCCGCCGUAAGAC
rnacentral:rRNA from 1 species